UUAAUACUCCCUCUGUCCGAAAAUACUUGUCCUAGAAAUGGAUAAAAUGAAUGCAUUUAUAACUAAAAUAAGUCUAGAUACAACCAUUUCUAGGACAAGUAUUUCCGGACGGAGGGAGUACUUC
rnacentral:pre_miRNA from 1 species